CAGUAGCCGCGGGAAUACGAAGGGGGCUAGCGUUGUUCGGAUUUACUGGGCGUAAAGCGCACGUAGGCGGAUCCUUAAGUCAGAGGUGAAAUCCCAAGGCUCAACCUUGGAACUGCCUUUGAUACUGGGGAUCUCGAGUUCGGGAGAGGUGAGUGGAACUGCGAGUGUAGAGGUGAAAUUCGUAGAUAUUCGCAAGAACACCAGUGGCGAAGGCGGCCAACUGGUCCGAUACUGACGCUGAGGUGCGAAAGCGUGGGGAGCAAACAGGAUUAGAUACCCCGGUAGUCCCUGUCUCUUAUAA
rnacentral:rRNA from 1 species